ACAAGAAUCUACAGGUCGAGCAAGUCUCGUAAAUUUCACGAUUGCGAGCCACGCUUCACGCAACCGUGUUUGCGUACUUGUGUUUCGAGUUGCGUGGUCGUGCGGAGUUAUAUUUACCAAAUUUAAAUAUAAUCGUUUUCAAAAUUAAAUCAAUAUGGCUACUGGGUGUAAAAGAUAAAUCUUAUUCUAUCUGUUCUUAAUGAGUUUUAGAUAAUUUUAGUUGUAUUUCUUUGUAAUUUUGUGUUGUACAAAGAUUAAUUUAACAUUUUCUCUGGAAGUAUUAAUUUAGAAAGAUAAUAUGCUUCAUUGGUGUUGUGUUGUGAAGUGUGAAAUGCAAAGUAAUUGUGAUAAAGUCAAGAUAAAGUUCACUUUUAAACUGAACUAAAUAAGGUAUCUGAGAGACAACAAUGGUUAAAUGCAAUACAAUGUACAGGUUUUACUAGCGAAAUGAAAAUUUUCCUGUCCUGUCUGCUGUAAUCAUUUUAUAUCUGGAAAACCAGCCGACUUAAUCGAUAAUAACAAUCUCCAGAUUGGGUUCCUUCAAUAAAUAUGGUCUAUAAACACAAUGAAAUAAGUUCCCCAAAAUCUAAAAUGGAGUGGUAUCAAAGGAGAAUUAAAGGGAAAAAUAUUCAUAUUGAAAUUAUUUAUAAGGAACUGGACUGUCUUAAAUUCUACAAUAAUACUAGUAUCAGCUGAGAGAAGUGGUCUACAAAAAACCAGGAAGGAAACGGAAUAUGUGGCUACGAAAGGCAAAAGGAAGGUUUACAAAGCAAAUGUGACACAUUUUUUUGAAAUAUUUAGGAAUAUCAGUAAAUUGCAUUAAAAAAAUGUAUGAAAAGAUUUUGUUCAAUAAAAAUGUUUAUAUUUA